rnacentral:rRNA from 1 species
AACGAACGCUGGCGGCGUGCCUAACACAUGCAAGUCGAGCGCGAAUGGAGCAAUCCUAGUAGAGCGGCGCACGGGUGCGUAACACGUGGGUAAUCUGCUUGGAAGAUCGGAAUAACCUGCCGAAAGGCUGGCUAAUACCGGAUAAGCCUACAGGGUCUUCGGAUCUGGUAGGAAAAGGUGGCCUCUGUACACAAGCUAUCACUUCCAAAUGAGCCCGCGGCCCAUCAGCUAGUUGGCGGGGUAAUGGCCCACCAAGGCUACGACGGGUAGCUGGUCGGAGAGGGCGAUCAGCCACACUGGAACUGAGACACGGUCCAGACUCCUACGGGAGGCAGCAGUGGGGAAUCUUGCACAACGGGCGAAAGCCUGAUGCAGCAACGCCGCGUGUGUGAUGAAGGUCUUCGGAUCGUAAAGCACUUUCGACCGGGACGAAAACACCUUGGCUAACAUCCAAGGGACUGACGGUACCGGGAGAAGAAGCACCGGCUAACUCUGUGCCAGCAGCCGCGGUAAGAC